rnacentral:rRNA from 1 species
UACGUAGGAUGCAAGCGUUAUCCGGAAUUAUUGGGCGUAAAGCGUACGUAGGCGGUUCCGUAAGUCGGGAGUUAAAGACCGGGGCUCAACCCCGGGGGUGCUCUGGAAACUGCGGGACUGGAGGACGGCAGAGGAAAGUGGAAUUCCCAGUGUAGCGGUGAAAUGCGUAGAUAUUGGGAGGAACACCAGUGGCGAAAGCGACUUUCUGGGCCGUUCCUGACGCUGAGGUACGAAAGCCAGGGGAGCAAACGGG